UAGAGUUUGAUCCUGGCUCAGAUUGAACGCUGGCGGCAGGCCUAACACAUGCAAGUCGAGCGGUAGCACAGAGAGCUUGCUCUCGGGUGACGAGCGGCGGACGGGUGAGUAAUGUCUGGGAAACUGCCUGAUGGAGGGGGAUAACUACUGGAAACGGUAGCUAAUACCGCAUAAUGUCGCAAGACCAAAGUGGGGGACCUUCGGGCCUCAUACCAUCAGAUGUGCCCAGAUGGGAUUAGCUAGUAGGUGGGGUAACGGCUCACCUAGGCGACGAUCCCUAGCUGGUCUGAGAGGAUGACCAGCCCACUGGAACUGAGACACGGUCCAGACUCCUACGGGAGGCAGCAGUGGGGAAUUUUGCCAAUGGGCGCAAGCCUGUGCANCAUGCCGCGUGUGUGAA
rnacentral:rRNA from 1 species